GACGAACGCUGGCGGCGUGCCUAAUACAUGCAAGUCGAACGCUGAAGGAGGAGCUUGCUUCUCUGGAUGAGUUGCGAACGGGUGAGUAACGCGUAGGUAACCUGCCUGGUAGCGGGGGAUAACUAUUGGAAACGAUAGCUAAUACCGCAUAAGAGUAGAUGUUGCAUGACAUUUGCUUAAAAGGUGCAAUUGCAUCACUACCAGAUGGACCUGCGUCGUAUUAGCUAGUUGGUGGGGUAACGGCUCACCAAGGCGACGAUACAUAGCCGACCUGAGAGGGUGAUCGGCCACACUGGGACUGAGACACGGCCCAGACUCCUACGGGAGGCAGCAGUAGGGAAUCUUCGGCAAUGGACGGAAGUCUGACCGAGCAACGCCGCGUGAGUGAAGAAGGUUUUCGGAUCGUAAAGCUCUGUUGUAAGAGAAGAACGAGUGUGAGAGUGGAAAGUUCACACUGUGACGGUAUCUUACCAGAAAGGGACGGCUAACUACGUG
rnacentral:rRNA from 1 species